CAGUAGCCGCGGUAAUACGUAGGGUGCAAGCGUUAAUCGGAAUUACUGGGCGUAAAGCGUGCGCAGGCGGUUAUAUAAGACAGAUGUGAAAUCCCCGGGCUCAACCUGGGAACUGCAUUUGUGACUGUAUAGCUAUAGUACGUCAGAGGGGGAUGGAAUUCCGCGUGUAGCAGUGAAAUGCGUAGAUAUGCGGAGGAACACCGAUGGCGAAGGCAAUCCCCUGGGCCUGUACUGACGCUCAUGCACGAAAGCGUGGGGAGCAAACAGGAUUAGAUACCCGUGUAGUCCCUGUCUCUUAUAC
rnacentral:rRNA from 1 species